CUCAGCAUGGGGGUCCCGCGGCCUCAACCCUGGGCGCUGGGGCUCCUGCUCUUUCUCCUGCCCGGGAGCCUGGGCGCAGAAAGCCACCUCUCCCUCCUGUACCACCUCACCGCGGUGUCCUCGCCUGCCCCGGGGACUCCUGCCUUCUGGGUGUCUGGCUGGCUGGGCCCGCAGCAGUACCUGAGCUACAAUAGCCUGCGGGGCGAGGCGGAGCCCUGUGGAGCUUGGGUCUGGGAAAACCAGGUGUCCUGGUAUUGGGAGAAAGAGACCACAGAUCUGAGGAUCAAGGAGAAGCUCUUUCUGGAAGCUUUCAAAGCUUUGGGGGGAAAAGGUGAGAUUCCGGUCUGGAGGGGCAAGGGGCCGGGUCCAUGCUCUUGGGCCCCGCUUACCUGUGUUUGGGCGCCCCAGGUCCCUACACUCUGCAGGGCCUGCUGGGCUGUGAACUGGGCCCUGACAACACCUCGGUGCCCACCGCCAAGUUCGCCCUCAACGGCGAGGAGUUCAUGAAUUUCGACCUCAAGCAGGGCACCUGGGGUGGGGACUGGCCCGAGGCCCUGGCUGUCAGUCAGCGGUGGCAGCAGCAGGACAAGGCGGCCAACAAGGAGCUCACCUUCCUGCUGUUCUCCUGCCCGCACCGCCUGCGGGAGCACCUGGAGAGGGGCCGCGGAAACCUGGAGUGGAAGGGCUGCUGGACAAAGAUAGAUACCAGCUGGGGACGGGCACAGAUAUUCAUUCCAAGUGCCACAAAGGAGAAGUUGAGACUCAACCAGAGCCCCCCUCCAUGCGCCUGAAGGCCCGACCCAGCAGCCCUGGCUUUUCCGUGCUUACCUGCAGCGCCUUCUCCUUCUACCCUCCGGAGCUGCAACUUCGGUUCCAGCGGAAUGGGCUGGCCGCUGGCACCGGCCAGGGCGACUUCGGCCCCAACAGUGACGGAUCCUUCCACGCCUCAUCGUCACUAAUAGUCAAAAGUGGCGAUGAGCACCACUACUGCUGCGUCGUGCAGCACGCGGGGCUGGCGCAGCCCCUCAGGGUGGAACUGGGUGAGGCCCCGCCCGGUGGUGAUGCUCCUGGUUUCCCGUUGCCUUGUCUCACUGCUGCGCCGUUCCUUCCUGAGUCUGACCUUCUUCCCCACUGCUGCCACCUCCUUGAAUCUGACUGCCUUGAACCUCGCGCCUGUCAGUGCCCCCAAAACCUGAUGGCUUGUCCUUCCCAAGGCCGACUGCCUUCCGUCUCCUGCUGCUUCUGGCCUCACUGAGUCUGAAGAGCUGUUAACUACCAUGGCCAGUCCUCCCUGAGUCUGACCAUCUUCCAUCCUGCUGCUGCUGCUGCUGCUGCUGCAGGUCUUCCUGGAAUCUGACCAUUCGUUGUCUGCUAUGCUCGUCCUCACCAAGACUGACCGCCUGCUGCUUUGCUACCGCCCGGGCCCAU
rnacentral:sRNA from 1 species